UACGUAGGGUGCAAGCGUUGUCCGGAAUUAUUGGGCGUAAAGAGCUCGUAGGCGGUUUGUCGCGUCGGCUGUGAAAACCCGGGGCUCAACCCCGGGCCUGCAGUCGAUACGGGCAAACUAGAGUGUGGUAGGGGAGACUGGAAUUCCUGGUGUAGCGGUGAAAUGCGCAGAUAUCAGGAGGAACACCGGUGGCGAAGGCGGGUCUCUGGGCAGUAACUGACGCUGAGGAGCGAAAGCGUGGGGAGCGAACAGG
rnacentral:rRNA from 1 species